UUUGCUGUUUAUAGUUAUAUCUCAAAUCAUUUUUAUUUCUAAGAAUUAACACGUUUGUAUGUGAUUAUUUGUCUCCCAAAUAGCCGAUCCUGGCUACAUAGUAAAGCUUGAGUUUCGAAAUAGAUUCAACAUUGAACCGUCACCAACAUGCGAAUAUGAUUAUUUGGAGAUACGGGACGGUAAAUAUGGAUUCUCGACACUUAAAGGAAAAUAUUGUGGUACUAAGUUUCCAGAUGAAAUAAUCUCAAGUGAUAGAUAUUUGUGGUUGCGUUUCCGUUCGGACGAUAAUAUUGAGUAUGAAGGUUUCGAAGCCGUAUAUGAAUUUAUACCACGUUCAAAGAAAAUAGAUGCAAUUGAAGAGUGUUCAAUCUUGAAAAAUAAUGCAGAUUCAGGAAAAAUAUCAAUAGAGGAUAUAAAUGAAACAAUUCUUAGGCAGGUCAACGAGUCAGCUAUAAUUCCAUUAGAUUGUUUAUGGACGAUUAGUGUGAAAGAAGAUUGGCAG